UCAGCGAUUGUCUCGAUGCUGUAGUUGUGUGACUGGUCCUUCAACUUGAGAUGGUGCUGCUACUCACAAUGAAGCUGUUGAAGUUUGACUGACACAUAAAUAUGGGUCUCAAUAAGCCCUUGUAGUAGAUAUUGAUGAUAAUUGAUCUACUAUAAGAGUGGAGUGCGCAUCAAGAUAGGAUCUAUCAAUCUUGAUAGAGAGAAUUAGUCCUAUGAGAUUUGAAAAGCUAAAUCCAAGAGUCUGUGGUCACAGCAGUGUGAUUGAUGGAAAAGAGUUUCCAUAGAAGUCAUAAUUGGACUUGAGCUAAUCGAAUCUAUCAUAUGACUAA
rnacentral:lncRNA from 1 species